GCGGUGCUGCCUCUCAGCUGUCGCUCCCCGCCACCUGGGUGGCAGCAUAAAGCAGACAAAAGGACAGUAAUGGUGCUAACUUUUUUUUGCAAAUUUGUGGACUUCCGGAACGCUGUAAAAAACCAACCAGUUUUGAUGUGUGAUUUCUAGUCCUUCCUUUGCGUUGUUAACGGAACACGGUUUGAAUAAAGUCAGCGUUAAGGCUCUUCCUCUCUGCGUGUGCCCCGUCCCACUCGUACUAUUAACUGUUGUAAAUUUGACGUGUCUGCUUCAAGAUUUUCUUUUAAUAUGCGGAUUCCUGUUGCGUGUAAAUCAUGUCCCUGUGGUUAUAUAUUUAUUAGCAGAAAACUACUAAAUGCAAAACACUCAGAGAAAUCACCACCGUCUACAGAAAACAAGCAUGAGGCCAAGAGGAGGCGAACAGAGAGAGUCAGGCGAGAGAAGAUAAAUUCUACAGUAAAUAAAGAUUUAGAAAACAGAAAGAGAUCUCGAAGUAACAGCCAUUCAGAUCAUAUCAGACGAGGAAGAGGAAGACCUAAAAGUUCAUCCGCCAAAAAACACGAGGAAGAGAGAGAAAAACAGGAGAAGGAAAUUGACAUCUAUGCUAACCUCUCUGAUGAGAAGGCUUUCGUGUUUUCAGUUGCCUUGGCAGAAAUAAAUAGAAAAAUUAUCAAUCAAAGACUUAUUCUCUGAUAUUUGUC
rnacentral:lncRNA from 1 species